CAGGCUUAACACAUGCAAGUCGAGGGGCAGCAUGGUCUUAGCUUGCUAAGGCCGAUGGCGACCGGCGCACGGGUGAGUAACACGUAUCCAACCUGCCGUCUACUCUUGGACAGCCUUCUGAAAGGAAGAUUAAUACAAGAUGGCAUCAUGAGUCCACAUGUUCACAUGAUUAAAGGUAUUCCGGUAGACGAUGGGGAUGCGUUCCAUUAGAUAGUAGGCGGGGUAACGGCCCACCUAGUCUUCGAUGGAUAGGGGUUCUGAGAGGAAGGUCCCCCACAUUGGAACUGAGACACGGUCCAAACUCCUACGGGAGGCAGCAGUGAGGAAUAUUGGUCAAUGGGCGAGAGCCUGAACCAGCCAAGUAGCGUGAAGGAUGACUGCCCUAUGGGUUGUAAACUUCUUUUAUAAAGGAAUAAAGUCGGGUAUGGAUACCCGUUUGUAUGUACUUUAUGAAUAAGGAUCGGCUAACUCCGUGCCAGCAGCCGCGGUAAUACGGAGGAUCCGAGCGUUAUCCGGAUUUAUUGGGUUUAAAGGGAGCGUAGAUGGAUGUUUAAGUCAGUUGUGAAAGUUUGCGGCUCAACCGUAAAAUUGCAGUUGAUACUGGAUAUCUUGAGUGCAGUUGAGGCAGGCGGAAUUCGUGGUGUAGCGGUGAAAUGCUUAGAUAUCACGAAGGACUCCGAUUGCGAAGGCAGCCUGCUAAGCUGCAACUGACAUUGAGGCUCGAAAGUGUGGGUAUCAAACAGGAUUAGAUACCCCGGUAGUCCACACGGUAAACGAUGAAUACUCGCUGUUUGCGAUAUACAGCAAGCGGCCAAGCGAAAGCGUUAAGUAUUCCACCUGGGGAGUACGCCGGCAACGGUGAAACUCAAAGGAAUUGACGGGGGCCCGCACAAGCGGAGGAACAUGUGGUUUAAUUCGAUGAUACGCGAGGAACCUUACCCGGGCUUAAAUUGCAGAUGAAUUACGGUGAAAGCCGUAAGCCGCAAGGCAUCUGUGAAGGUGCUGCAUGGUUGUCGUCAGCUCGUGCCGUGAGGUGUCGGCUUAAGUGCCAUAACGAGCGCAACCCUUGUUGUCAGUUACUAACAGGUUCCGCUGAGGACUCUGACAAGACUGCCAUCGUAAGAUGUGAGGAAGGUGGGGAUGACGUCAAACCAGCACGGCCCUUACGUCCGGGGCUACACACGUGUUACAAUGGGGGGUACAGAGGGCCGCUACCACGCGAGUGGAUGCCAAUCCCAAAAACCUCUCUCAGUUCGGACUGGAGUCUGCAACCCGACUCCACGAAGCUGGAUUCGCUAGUAAUCGCGCAUCAGCCACGGCGCGGUGAAUACGUUCCCGGGCCUUGUACACACCGCCCGUCAAGCCAUGGGAGCCGGGGGUACCUGAAGUGCGUAACCGCGAGGAGCGCCCUAGGGUAAAACUGGUGACUGGGGC
rnacentral:rRNA from 1 species